UACGGGGGGGGGCAAGCGUUGUUCGGAAUUACUGGGCGUAAAGGGCGCGUAGGCGGCUUGUUAAGUCGGGUGUGAAAACUCUGGGCUCAACCCAGAGCCUGCAUUCGAAACUGAUGAGCUAGAGUUCUGGAGGGGAAAGCGGAAUUCCUGGUGUAGCAGUGAAAUGCGUAGAUAUCAGGAGGAACACCGGUGGCGAAGGCGGCUUUCUGGACAGAAACUGACGCUGAUGCGCGAAAGCUAGGGGAGCAAACAGG
rnacentral:rRNA from 1 species